GAGCAGGCAGUAUAGCUAUAGGUCUCCAUAGGCAGGGGAGCAGGCAGCACACGGGGGCUAUAGGGGAGCAGGCGCUAUAGCUAUAGGUCUCCACAGGCAGGGGAGCAGGCAGCACACGGGGGCUAUAGGGGAACAGGCAGUAUAGCUAUAGGUCUCCACAGGCAGGGGAGCAGGCAGCACACGGGGGCUAUAGGGGAGCAGGCGGUAUAGCUAUAGAUCUCCACAGGCAGGGGAGCAGGCAGCACACGGGGGCUAUAGGGGAGCAGGCAGUAUAGCUAUAGGUCUCCACAGGCAGGGGAGCAGGCAGCACACGGGGGCUAUAGGGGAGCAGGCGGUAUAGCUAUAGGUCUCCACAGGCAGGGGAGCAGGCAGCACACGGG